AACGAACGCUGGCGGCAGGCCUAACACAUGCAAGUCGAACGGGCGUAGCAAUACGUCAGUGGCGCACGGGUGAGUAACGCGUGGGUACCUGUCUGAUGGUAGGGGAUAACCGCGGGAAACCGCGGCUAAUACCCUAUGUGUCCUUCGGGACAAAGAUUUAUCGCCAUCAGGUGGGCCCGCGUAGGAUUAGCUAGUUGGUGAGGUAACGGCUCACCAAGGCGACGAUCCUUAGCUGGUCUGAGAGGACGAUCAGCCACACAGGGACUGAGACACGGCCCAGACUCCUACGGGAGGCAGCAGUGGGGAAUAUUGGACAAUGGGGGCAACCCUGAUCCAGCCAUGCCGCGUGAGUGAUGAAGGCCUUCGGGUUGUAAAGCUCUUUUGGCGGGGACGAUGAUGACGGUACCCGCAGAAUAAGCUCCGGCUAACUUCGUGCCAGCCGCCGCAGUAA
rnacentral:rRNA from 1 species